GUAGGAGUCACCUGUGGUGAGCUGGAGGUUGGAGCCUGUAGAUGGCGUGGCUCUGUGGCUCACUUCCUGUGGUUGUGGCAGCGACAGCGAUGGAGACUGCAGCUCGACAGGAAUGCUACCCAGAACUGAAGCCUGUGCAGUCCAUCAACGCCCAUCCUUCCAACUGCAUCUGUAUCAAGUUUGACCCCAUGGGGAAGUACUUUGCCACAGGAAGUGCAGAUGCUUUGGUCAGCCUCUGGGAUGUGGAUGAGUUAGUGUGUGUUCGGUGCUUUUCCAGGCUGGAUUGGCCUGUAAGAACCCUCAGUUUCAGCCAUGAUGGGAAAAUGCUGGCGUCAGCAUCGGAAGAUCAUUUUAUUGACAUUGCUGAAGUGGAGACAGGGGACAAACUAUGGGAGGUACAGUGUGAGUCUCCGACCUUCACAGUGGCAUGGCACCCCAAAAGGCCUCUGCUGGCAUUUGCCUGUGAUGACAAAGACGGCAAAUAUGACAGCAGCCGGGAAGCCGGAACUGUGAAGCUGUUUGGGCUUCCUAAUGAUUCUUGAGAGGAGGUUGUAGGGAGAGGAGGCCCCGGCAGAGGUCUUCCUUCAUGUGGUUAGUUUGGUCUGUUCUCUCGGAGUUGGUGGGCACCCUAAAUAUUUGUAAGUUGGUAUAAAUUGUAAACGUCUCUGGUCAGGCUGCGCAUUUCGUUCUUUUGCUUUGUCUGUGUAUUAGCUCUUUCCAUUCUUUGCCCCCAGCAUGAGUUAACUCGCGUGGACUCUGCAGUGCGAGUAGUGACCCCAGCAUACCUUGUCCUCUGGACCUCCUGUCUUCUCUGCUUCUGGGUGCAUGGUAGACUUUGUGGCAUUUGAUACAACUUGGACAAUACCUAGUUUGGAGGGAGGGGAAUGGAAGGGCAUGGAAGUUUUUUUAAAUAAUUAAAAAAAUAUAUAUAUAAUUUUGAGAAUUGAGCAUUUAAUAAACUGACUUUUGUUAUUAUGGAACUUCUAA
rnacentral:lncRNA from 1 species